GACAGAGGGGGCAAGCGUUGCUCGGAAUUACUGGGCGUAAAGGGCGUGCAGGCGGUUUGUUAAGUGCAGGGUGAAAGCUCCCGGCUCAACUGGGAGAGGUCCUUGCAUACUGGCAAACUCGAGGGAGGCAGAGGAAAGUGGAAUUCCCGGUGUAGUGGUGAUAUGCGUAGAUAUCGGGAGGAACACCUGUGGCGAAGGCGGCUUUCUGGGCCUUACCUGACGCUGAGACGCGAAAGCGUGGGGAGCGAACCGG
rnacentral:rRNA from 1 species